rfam:Anisakis simplex genome assembly, scaffold: ASIM_scaffold0001126
GGGGGCAUAGCUCAGGGGUAGAGCGCUCCGUUCGCAUCGGAGAGGUCUGGGGUUCAAUUCCCCAUGCCUCCA